rnacentral:rRNA from 1 species
AGGAGCAAUCAUAUCAGCACUAAUGCACGGGAUUCCAUCAGAACUCCGAAGUUAAGCAUGCUUGAGCGAGAAUAGUUCUAAGAUGGGCUUGUCUUACGACUU